CAAAGGAUAGACUACACAGUUGGGGAAUGAGUAUUGAUCAGCAAUGCAUCUUAUGCCAAAUCCACCCUGAAACAAGAGAUCAUUUGUUAAUGACCUGCCCUGUCACUGUGGACUAAUGGGAAAAAUGUGGGAUUUCGUUAUCCUUUUCAAGUCCGUAAAUGCGUCAGGCAUUUGAUUUGCUAUUCUUUGCAAAUGGAUAGUCUUUUGUACCUCUCUUUCACAAAUAGAGGUAUGUGGAUCAAGAUGAUAUAGUGAUGCAUUUUUCCACAAAAUUUCCCGUUUGGUUUCACCAACUUCUCCCCCUAAUUUUGGGAAAAGUGUCUCAUCAAAUUGACAGUCUGCAAAUCGUA
rnacentral:lncRNA from 1 species